CUGGAGUGAAGGAUCACAGUCUAUUGUGUUGUUGUUCCCCUCGUGCUGGUGCUUCACUAUCAAAGGUUAUAAAUACUUUUCAGAAAUAUUCUCUAAGAAUUUUAUGACCAAUGUGUCGGAAAAAUGUCAGUAAUGAUGAAAUCCAUGAGAUAUUAUGGAGAGAGACCUGCAUCUCCUGCAGACGCAACGUCUGCGCACGCCACUCCUACUUACUCUGCACGAGUGCCAGUAAAACUAGUGUUCUGGCGGUGCCUGGUGGCUGUUAUUGACAAUAUAUGGUGCUCCACCCUUCUUCUCUCAGGGCCAGACAAGGAAAAUUCGUUGUACCUCGCAGAUUUUUGUUUUGUUUUAUAUGAACAUAAGUGUAAAAUGGUAAAAACAAUCAAUCUAUGUUUUCAUAUACUCAGCUAUUUUUUUUUCAGUCAGAAGCCUGGCUAAGACCUUUAAAUGUUUGUAUAUGCCUUUAAAUUUCAUUAAAUGUAACUUCCUGA